ACAAUCUGUCAACCCUGCACUAAACCACGUGAAACCACUGAACGAAGAUGCUACACUGCAGAGAUGGCGGUUGUUUUUGAACUAGUUCCGCAGCUGAAGGUGGUUGGUGGCACGUGGGUUUCAUCGCAGCUAAUCUCGCACGUUGUAACCGCCUACUGCUUGAAUAGGCUGACUAAGUUCAGAAUCGGACCAACAUUUUAAAAUUGCAAGUGCCAGUAUAUUCCAUAUUGUGUAUAUCAACCAACCACAGCCUGGAAUGGUAAGCUUUACUUCUAAUAUUGCGUCUGCGUUGAGUUUAUUUAGUAGCGAUCUGGGUGGUCCAGUGAGAGAAAAACAAUGUGUGUAUAGGCUGGCUGGGUACGUGUAGCAGAUCAGAUAUUACAGAAAAUAGUGGCAUGUUGGUACAGUCAGCCAGAAUGUUAAGAAGCAGUGGUGUUCAGCUUCAGGAUGAGUAGGGCUAUUGCACGGCUAUUUGCUAGUUGACUCAUUUGCAUAAUUCACCAGACCAUGGUCUCAACACAAUGAUGUAAUGAUAAUGAAUAUUCAUUGCCAGACUCUGAAACUACAAAAAUCAGGAAACUGCUGAAGUGACACCAGAUCAAGAACAACUUCUAGAAAGCAUAUAUAUACUUCAACGUGGCCAAUUGUGGUGGACUACUACUGCUGC